AUUGAACGCUGGCGGCAGGCCUAACACAUGCAAGUCGAGCGGAUGAGGGGAGCUUGCUCCUGGAUUCAGCGGCGGACGGGUGAGUAAUGCCUAGGAAUCUGCCUGGUAGUGGGGGAUAACGUCCGGAAACGGGCGCUAAUACCGCAUACGUCCUGAGGGAGAAAGUGGGGGAUCUUCGGACCUCACGCUAUCAGAUGAGCCUAGGUCGGAUUAGCUAGUUGGUGGGGUAAAGGCCUACCAAGGCGACGAUCCGUAACUGGUCUGAGAGGAUGAUCAGUCACACUGGAACUGAGACACGGUCCAGACUCCUACGGGAGGCAGCAGUGGGGAAUAUUGGACAAUGGGCGAAAGCCUGAUCCAGCCAUGCCGCGUGUGUGAAGAAGGUCUUCGGAUUGUAAAGCACUUUAAGUUGGGAGGAAGGGCAGUAAGUUAAUACCUUGCUGUUUUGACGUUACCAACAGAAUAAGCACCGGCUAACUUCGUGCCAGCAGCCGCGGUAAUACGAAGGGUGCAAGCGUUAAUCGGAAUUACUGGGCGUAAAGCGCGCGUAGGUGGUUCAGCAAGUUGGAUGUGAAAUCCCCGGGCUCAACCUGGGAACUGCAUCCAAAACUACUGAGCUAGAGUACGGUAGAGGGUGGUGGAAUUUCCUGUGUAGCGGUGAAAUGCGUAGAUAUAGGAAGGAACACCAGUGGCGAAGGCGACCACCUGGACUGAUACUGACGCUGAUGUGCGAAAGCGUGGGGAUCAAACAGGAUUAGAUACCCUGGUAGUCCACGCCGUAAACGAUGAGUGCUAAGUGUUAGGGGGUUUCCGCCCCUUAGUGCUGCAGCUAACGCAUUAAGCCCUCCGCCUGGGGAGUACGACCGCAAGGUUGAAACUCAAAGGAAUUGACGGGGACCCGCACAAGCGGUGGAGCAUGUGGUUUAAUUCGAAGCAACGCGAAGAACCUUACCAAAUCUUGACAUCCUCUGACCCCUCUAGAGAUAGAGUUUUCCCCUUCGGGGGACAGAGUGACAGGUGGUGCAUGGUUGUCGUCAGCUCGUGUCGUGAGAUGUUGGGUUAAGUCCCGCAACGAGCGCAACCCUUAAGCUUAGUUGCCAUCAUUAAGUUGGGCACUCUAAGUUGACUGCCGGUGACAAACCGGAGGAAGGUGGGGAUGACGUCAAAUCAUCAUGCCCCUUAUGAUUUGGGCUACACACGUGCUACAAUGGACAAUACAAAGGGUAGCGAAACCGCGAGGUCAAGCAAAUCCCAUAAAGUUGUUCUCAGUUCGGAUUGUAGUCUGCAACUCGACUAUAUGAAGCUGGAAUCGCUAGUAAUCGUAGAUCAGCAUGCUACGGUGAAUACGUUCCCGGGUCU
rnacentral:rRNA from 1 species